CACAUGCAAGUCGAGGGGCAGCAUGAUUGAAGCUUGCUUCAAUUGAUGGCGACCGGCGCACGGGUGAGUAACGCGUAUCCAACCUUCCGUACACUCAGGGAUAGCCUUUCGAAAGAAAGAUUAAUACCCGAUGGUAUGAUGAGAUUGCAUGAUAGCAUCAUUAAAGAUUUAUCGGUGUACGAUGGGGAUGCGUUCCAUUAGGUAGUAGGCGGGGUAACGGCUCACCUAGCCGACGAUGGAUAGAGGUUCUGAGAGGAAGGUCCCCCACAUUGGAACUGAGACACGGUCCAAACUCCUACGGGAGGCAGCAGUGAGGAAUAUUGGUCAAUGGACGAGAGUCUGAACCAGCCAAGUAGCGUGAAGGAUGAAGGUCCUACGGAUUGUAAACUUCUUUUAUAAGGGAAUAAAACCUCCCACGUGUGGGAGCUUGUAUGUACCUUAUGAAUAGGCAUCGGCUAACUCCGUGCCAGCAGCCGCGGUAAUACGGAGGAUGCGAGCGUUAUCCGGAUUUAUUGGGUUUAAAGGGAGCGCAGACGGGUCGUUAAGUCAGCUGUGAAAGUUUGGGGCUCAACCUUAAAAUUGCAGUUGAUACUGGCGUCCUUGAGUGCGGUUGAGGUGUGCGGAAUUCGUGGUGUAGCGGUGAAAUGCUUAGAUAUCACGAAGAACUCCGAUUGCGAAGGCAGCACACUAAGCCGUAACUGACGUUCAUGCUCGAAAGUGUGGGUAUCAAACAGGAUUAGAUACCCUGGUAGUCCACACGGUAAACGAUGGAUACUCGCUGUUGGCGAUAUACAGUCAGCGGCUUAGCGAAAGCGUUAAGUAUCCCACCUGGGGAGUACGCCGGCAACGGUGAAACUCAAAGGAAUUGACGGGGGCCCGCACAAGCGGAGGAA
rnacentral:rRNA from 1 species